GACAGGACAUGACAUUAUAUUUUGUAAAUUUUAAACUGUACGAAACUUUUUAUAUUAUUGAACAAACUUGCUCUAUUUUUGGAUAUGUUGUUGUAAAGAUAUGGUAUUGAUGUUGUAUUGAUGUUGUGUUGUUGUGUUGAUGUUGUAUUGUUGUUGAUGUUGUAUUGGAUUUGUUGUUUCAAAUAUAAUAGAAAGUUGCUGGGGUGUGAGUUCAACUAAACACGCUGAAGAACCAUUUACCGUGUUUGAAGACGGUAAACCAUUCACCGUGUUUGAAGAUAGUGAAUUGAUCACUAUCUUUAAACACGGUGAACCAUUCACCAUGUUUAGUUCAACUAUACACUUCACCGUUAGCUUAAACAUUUCACACUUCAACUAUACACUUCUUUAUUAGUUCAACUAUACAAGUUUAGCUUAAACACGGGGAACCAUUCACCAUGUCUAAACAUGGUGAAUGGUUCGCCAU
rnacentral:lncRNA from 1 species